CGUCUGAUUAGCUAGUUGGUGAGAUAACAGCCCACCAAGGCGACGAUCAGUAGCCGACCUGAGAGGGUGACCGGCCACAUUGGGACUGAGACACGGCCCAGACUCCUACGGGAGGCAGCAGUGGGGAAUAUUGCACAAUGGAGGAAACUCUGAUGCAGCGACGCCGCGUGAGUGAAGAAGUAAUUCGUUAUGUAAAGCUCUAUCAGCAGGGAAGAUAGUGACGGUACCUGACUAAGAAGCUCCGGCUAAAUACGUGCCAGCAGCCGCGGUAAUACGUAUGGAGCAAGCGUUAUCCGGAUUUACUGGGUGUAAAGGGAGUGUAGGUGGCCAUGCAAGUCAGAAGUGAAAAUCCGGGGCUCAACCCCGGAACUGCUUUUGAAACUGUAAGGCUGGAGUGCAGGAGGGGUGAGUGGAAUUCCUAGUGUAGCGGUGAAAUGCGUAGAUAUUAGGAGGAACACCAGUGGC
rnacentral:rRNA from 1 species